rnacentral:rRNA from 1 species
CACCUGACGCGACUCCGUCGAAGUUGACCUGGAAAGGCACGUCGGAGAGGGUGAUAGCCCCGUGCGUGGCGGAGUCGCCGAGGGCCGCUACCGUCUUCGGAGAGUCGGGUUGUUUGGGAGUGCAGCCCAAAGUGGGUGGUAAACUCCAUCUAAAGCCAAAUAACGGCACGAGACCGAUAGCGAACAAGUACCAUGAGGGAAAGGUGAAAAGCACUUUGGAAAGAGAGUUAAAGAGGCCGCGAAACCGUUGGGAGGGAAACGCAUGCAGCCGAACUGGCCCGCGUCGGGUUCAGGGGGCCGCGAGGAGUCGUGCGUGCCGACGGCACCUUCGUUGGGUCGUCGGUGCGUCCGGGCGUCUCGCGCCCCUGCACUCUCGGCGGCAAGGGCCGGCCAAGUGCGGCGGGUUCCGGGCGAUGAGCACGGACGGGAGGUAGCGCAACUGUGUUCGCACAGAGGCGAACUUAUAGCCGUCCGUGUGGAGCGUCCGAGGCCCGCCGAGGUGAGCGGUGGCAUUUACACCCCAGCAGCGCAGGUCCGCUUCGGCGGCCGGGGCGCUCUCGUUCGUUCGCCGACCGUGCCUGUCACUGCGUGCAGUGUCCGGCCGCGGCUCGCGUGUCCGGGCGGGAGGUCGUCUCACGCCUUGCGCUGCGGUCGCUU